rnacentral:rRNA from 1 species
GCUCAGGACGAACGCUGGCGGCGUGCCUAAUACAUGCAAGUCGAGCGGACGGAUGGGAGCUUGCUCCCUGAAGUCAGCGGCGGACGGGUGAGUAACACGUGGGCAACCUGCCUGUAAGACUGGGAUAACUUCGGGAAACCGGAGCUAAUACCGGAUAAUGCAUAACCUCUCAUGAGGUUAUGCUGAAAGAUGGUUUCGGCUAUCACUUACAGAUGGGCCCGCGGCGCAUUAGCUAGUUGGUGAGGUAACGGCUCACCAAGGCAACGAUGCGUAGCCGACCUGAGAGGGUGAUCGGCCACACUGGGACUGAGACACGGCCCAGACUCCUACGGGAGGCAGCAGUAGGGAAUCUUCCGCAAUGGACGAAAGUCUGACGGAGCAACGCCGCGUGAGUGAUGAAGGUUUUCGGAUCGUAAAACUCUGUUGUUAGGGAAGAACAAGUGCCGGAGUAACUGCCGGCACCUUGACGGUACCUAACCAGAAAGCCACGGCUAACUACGUGCCAGCAGCCGCGGUAAUACGUAGGUGGCAAGCGUUGUCCGGAAUUAUUGGGCGUAAAGCGCGCGCAGGCGGUCUCUUAAGUCUGAUGUGAAAGCCCACGGCUCAACCGUGGAGGGUCAUUGGAAACUGGGGGACUUGAGUGCAGAAGAGGAAAGUGGAAUUCCACGUGUAGCGGUGAAAUGCGUAGAGAUGUGGAGGAACACCAGUGGCGAAGGCGAC